rnacentral:rRNA from 1 species
ACGGGGGGAGCAAGCGUUGUCCGGAAUCAUUGGGCGUAAAGGGCGUGUAGGCGGUUCGGCAAGUCGAAUGUGAAAUCCCACGGCUCAACCGUGGAACUGCGUUCGAAACUGCCUUACUUGAGUGCGGGAGAGGUGGGCGGAAUUCCUGGUGUAGGGGUGGAAGCCGUAGAUAUCAGGGAGAAUACCGGUGGCGAAGGCGACCUACGGGCCAAUGACUGCCGCUUAGGUGUGAAAGUGUGGGGAGCUAACGG